ACACGUGGGUAACCUGCCUUAUAGUGGGGGAUAGCCUUUCGAAAGGAAGAUUAAUACCGCAUAAGAUUGUAGUAUCGCAUGAUAUAGCAAUUAAAGGAGCAAUCCGCUAUAAGAUGGACCCGCGUCGCAUUAGCUAGUUGGUGAGGUAAUGGCUCACCAAGGCGACGAUGCGUAGCCGACCCGAGAGGGUGAUCGGCCACAUUGGGACUGAGACACGGCCCAGACUCCUACGGGAGGCAGCAUG
rnacentral:rRNA from 1 species